GACGAACGCUGGCGGCGUGCCUAAUACAUGCAAGUAGGACGCAGUUGCGAACGGGUGAGUAACGCGUCUGUAACUGCCUAUUAGAGGGGGAUAACUAUUGGACACGAUAGCUAAUACCGCAUACUCGUAGAUGGACCUGCGUUGUAUUAGCUAGUAGGUAGGGUAAUGGCCUACCUAGGGGACGGUACAUAGCCGACCGGAGAGGGUGAUCGGCCAAACGUGGACUGGUAAACGGCCCAGACUCCUACGGGAGGCAGCAGUAGGGAAUCUUCGGCAAUGGGGGGAACCCUGACCGAGCAACGCCGCGGGAGGGAAGAAGGUUUUCGGAUAGUAAAGCUCUGUUGUGAAGGAAGCGGUACUUAACCAGAAAGGGACGGCUAACUACGUGCCAGCAGCCGCGGUAAUUC
rnacentral:rRNA from 1 species